rnacentral:rRNA from 1 species
AUUGAACGCUGGCGGCAGGCUUAACACAUGCAAGUCGAGCGGAGAGAGGUAGCUUGCUACUGAUCUUAGCGGCGGACGGGUGAGUAAUGCUUAGGAAUCUGCCUAUUAGUGGGGGACAACAUUUCGAAAGGAAUGCUAAUACCGCAUACGUCCUACGGGAGAAAGCAGGGGAUCUUCGGACCUUGCGCUAAUAGAUGAGCCUAAGUCGGAUUAGCUAGUUGGUGGGGUAAAGGCCUACCAAGGCGACGAUCUGUAGCGGGUCUGAGAGGAUGAUCCGCCACACUGGGACUGAGACACGGCCCAGACUCCUACGGGAGGCAGCAGUGGGGAAUAUUGGACAAUGGGCGCAAGCCUGAUCCAGCCAUGCCGCGUGUGUGAAGAGGGCCUUAUGGUUGUAAAGCACUUUAAGCGAGGAGGAGGCUACUUUAGUUAAUACCUAGAGAUAGUGGACGUUACUCGCAGAAUAAGCACCGGCUAACUCUGUGCCAGCCGCCGCGGUAA